rnacentral:rRNA from 1 species
GAUGAACGCUGGCGGCGUGCUUAACACAUGCAAGUCGAACGAUGAUCCCCAGCUUGCUGGGGGGAUUAGUGGCGAACAGGUGUGUAACACGUGAGUAACCUGCCCUUAACUCUGGGAUAAGCCUGGGAAACUGGGUCUAAUACCGGAUAUGACCUUCCAUCGCAUGGUGGUUGGUGGAAAGCUUUUUGUGGUUUUGGAUGGACUCGCGGCCUAUCAGCUUGUUGGUGAGGUAAUGGCUUACCAAGGCGACGACGGGUAGCCGGCCUGAGAGGGUGACCGGCCACACUGGGACUGAGACACGGCCCAGACUCCUACGGGAGGCAGCAGUGGGGAAUAUUGCACAAUGGGCGCAAGCCUGAUGCAGCGACGCCGCGUGAGGGAUGACGGCCUUCGGGUUGUAAACCUCUUUCAGUAGGGAAGAAGCGAAAGUGACGGUACCUGCAGAAGAAGCCCCGGCUAACUCCGUGCCAGCCGCCGCGGUAAGAC